rnacentral:snRNA from 1 species
CCGGAUUGAUUGCUAUGUAAAUC